UGGCCUUCCACCAAUUACUGCCAUAUUAUCAUGUAGCGGUGAUGUCCUGAUGCGCAUCAUGGCUUUUAGUGCUGUCUGCUUGAGCUGCUGUUGUACAGGAAGCAAGUGUGCUUCCACGUCUACUGCAGACCCGGCGGUCGUUCGGAAUGCUCCAGUGAUAAUCUGAGCUGCUCGUCGCUGAAUCUUUUUAAUGGCAUUUACCAUGCUGCCGCUCCGGCUCGUGUACCAUGCGGAGCAGCCGUACAGCAUCUGAGGUACGAUCAUCGCCCGAUAAACCCGUCGAAGGUUGAUUGCCCCUGUUCCCCAUAUUGAGGAUGCCAAGGCAGAUAGGGCC
rnacentral:sRNA from 1 species